UACGGGGGGAGCAAGCGUUGUUCGGAUUUACUGGGCGUAAAGGGCGCGUAGGCGGUCAGCACAAGUCAAUUGUGAAAUCUCCGAGCUUAACUCGGAAAGGUCAACUGAAACUGUGCGACUAGAGUGCGGAAGGGGCAACUGGAAUUCUUGGUGUAGCGGUGAAAUGCGUAGAUAUCAAGAGGAACACCUGUGGCGAAAGCGGUUCACUGGCCCGACACUGACACUGAGGUGCGAAAGCUAGGGUAGCAAACGGG
rnacentral:rRNA from 1 species